UAUCUCUGUAGAGUCUGCAUAUCAAUAAGCGGAGGAAAAGAAACUAACAAGGAUUCCCUUAGUAACGGCGAGUGAAGCGGGAAGAGCUCAAAUUUGAAAUCUUCAAGGUUUUACCUUGACGAAUUGUAGUUUAAAGAAGUGUUUUCUGUUGGAAUUUUGGUAAAAGUUCUUUGGAAAUAGGACAUCAAUAGAGGGUGAGAAUCCCGUAUUUGACCAUUAUUUCCAACUUUGUGAUACACUUUCAAAGAGUCGGAUUGUUUGGGAAUGCAGUCCAAAAUGGGUGGUAAAUUUCAUCUAAAGCUAAAUACUGGCGAGAGACCGAUAGCGAACAAGUACCGUGAGGGAAAGAUGAAAAGAACUUUGAAAAGAGAGUUAAACAGUACGUGAAAUUGUCAAAAGGGAAGCGCUUGACACCAGUGUUGUUUUCUCGAAAAUCAAUUAAAAAAUGUGGAUUUUGUGUUGUAUUGACUUUAAUCAACUUUCUUCACUUUUUUCUUGUCUUUUUUAAUGCACUUUUCGUUUAACAAGUCAACAUCAAUUUCUUUUGUUGUAAAAGGGUCAUUGGAAGGUGGCUUUCUUUUCGGAGAAAGUGUUUAUAGCCUUUGACUUCUGCAAUCGGAGAGAUUGAGGUCUGCAGCGUAGAUCCUUCGGGGUUAGAUGCAUUUGUGCUAAGUUAUAGCCUUUCAUAGACAACUUGUUGACUAUGAUCAGUCAUGUAGCUUACUCGCUUAUGUCAUUUUACCUACGCUUAGGAUGUUGAUCUCUCACAGUCGAGC
rnacentral:rRNA from 1 species